rnacentral:rRNA from 1 species
AUUGAACGCUGGCGGCAGGCCUAACACAUGCAAGUCGAACGAGUGGCGGACGGGUGAGUAAUGUCUGGGAAACUGCACGAUGGAGGGGGAUAACUACUGGAAACGGGAGCUAAUACCGCAUACCAUCGGAUGUGCCCAGAUGGGAUUAGCUAGUAGGUGGGGUAACGGCUCACCAAGGCGACGAUCCCUAGCUGGUCUGAGAGGAUGACCAGCCACACUGGAACUGAGACACGGUCCAGACUCCUACGUGAGGCAGCAGUGGGGAAUAGUGCACAAUGGGCGACAGCCUGAUUCAGCCAUGCCGCGUGUAUGAAGAAGGCCUUCGGGUUGUAAAGUCCUUUCAGCGAGGAGGCGUUACUCGCAGAAGAAGCACCGGCUAACUCCGUGCCAGCAGCCGCGGUAAUAC